CUCAAAUUAAAAUUUUGCAUCCUUCUGGAGUGUCAAUUCCAUGUAACAUGGGACUUGCUAUUUGAACGAAUUUUACCUUCAAAUUCUGGUAGCAUAUGUCAUAAAAUUUUGACAAAGAAAAAGAAAAUUGAAUUAAGCAAUUCAGUACGAUCUUCCAAAUAGAAAAAAGAAACACCAUAAUUCAAAAAUCUUAACAAGAUACAAAAGAAUUCACAUACCAAAAAAGUAGAAAAUACAAAGAAUUGAAGGUAAACAACCAACCAAAGUAAAAUGAACAAAUACAGGGGGUCAGCUUUUAGGAUACUAGAAUAAUUAUAAAGCAAAAAAAGAAAGUUCUAGCUAGUACUUGUACAACUUAUUACUAGUAAAAAUAAAAUAAAAAAUUAUUGAGAAAUGUCCCUCCUCUUCAACCUCAAAAUCAUUUCCAGCUGUUCCAUCCAACACCCACAAAUAAUUAAAAACAAAAAAAGUUUCUCCCACAAUGAAUGUGAUGUUGUACCUUAAUAUCAUGGAUACCAAUACCAUGCCAAAGAGCAUUCAUGUGAGAAUUCAACCACCAUAAUAACCUCAACCAAUUCAACUAUACUUAGCUUGCAAUCAAUAUUUUCCAACACCAUCUUUAAUCCACCUCAACCACCCCACCCCUACCCCUCUCUC
rnacentral:lncRNA from 1 species